GUACUUGAAACCAGAUGAGGACAAGAAAUCCAAACACAAGACCGCUGUCAAGAAGAAAACACUCAAUCCUGAAUUCAACGAGGAAUUUUGCUAUGAGAUCAAGCACGGCGACUUGACCAAGAAGACCUUGGAGGUGACAGUGUGGGAUUACGACAUUGGCAAAUCGAAUGACUUUAUCGGUGGUGUCGUGCUGGGGAUCAAUGCCAAAGGAGACCGGCUGAAGCACUGGUUUGACUGCUUGAAAAACAAGGAUAAGAAAAUCGAGCGCUGGCACACGCUCACGAACGAGCUGCCGGGAGCCAUCCUCAGCGAUUGACCUUACGAGCGGACCUGGGGACCUGGUCAAACAGAGCACAGCACCCGAUGAAGGAGCGACUCCUGCCUUCAGAAAUAUUGUUUACUUCGCUGGAAGGGUUUGGCCCCAAGUCAGCAAGAAUGAGGAAGGGGGUUUGGUAACAAGCUGUGGGCGACAGCCCAUUGGCCGGGCAUGCUUUGGCACCAAGCAACACACUGUCUUCUGUUGUUUGGCAAACUUCAGUCCUAGAGACCUCUCCGGGGAUGCCUUGAAAUUACAGCAGACCUGUUUCUUGGAGGGACGGGGGCGGGGUGGGGGGGGUGGGGUGGGGAGACCAAAAGCCUGCAUGCAUUUAAAUUGUGACUUCUCCGACUUCCUGAAUCCUGUUCUUGCUGCCUCGCGGCUUUGCUGGCACAUAAACGCAAAAUAUACCAACUAUUUUCUUUCUCUCUGUGUGUGGCUAGCACUGAUUGCGUCUCAGCGCAACAAAAAUAAAACAUGUCGCCUCUUGGGUUGAUUUGGGGGUCAGAGCAGAGAGCCGCAUCUUCUGGUGCAUUGCAUAAUGUUUCUGGUAGGGGAGGGCUAGUUUGCUUUCUGUGUGACCCCUUCUCCGAAGCAUUCCCUUCGUCUUGUCUGUUAAUCUGUGCAAAACAUAUACGUUAAGGGCUGGGCAACUGACUGAGGCGGUUGCUUCCUUUCGUCAGUCCCCUCUUCCACCUCCUUUCCACCAGGGGUCAUGCAAACAGACCUCCAGAGAAUCGGGUUCCGGCUCCCUAGAGGUUCUAGAGCAGAGCUCUACCCUCCUCUCUGGACCCUCCUGUUGCUCCUUCACAGCCAAGGAGUAUCACACUUCCUUCUCUGUGCAGCUAACAUUUUUUAAGGAACCGCAAGCCUUCCUUUUUCUGUGCGUUUCAUACCACUGCCUUCAAACACCAUGACAUUUCCUCCUGCUCUCUGCGAGCGUCUCUCAGUCAUUUGUGUUGUUGUUGAAGAGCCGAUCUUUCCGGAACUCAGCAUCAGAGAGCGGCUUACAUCCAAGCCCAAGUACUCAUCAGAAGAGUCACCCUUUAGCAACAUUCAAAGGCAAGUUUUGACUUCCACGGCCAAACGCACAGUAUGUCAAAAACAAAAUUACUCGGAUUUUUAAACUGGUUCUGCUGACAGCACAAUUCAGACUCUCUCUCUCAGCAAAGGCAAUUGACAUCACUGUUCUUUGUCCAAGUAUUAUUUUAGUUCCGUAGCCUGUAUGUUCAUUCUGGCCUGUCUUUUGUGGAUUUCACACGAUGCUCGUUCUCAUGAUACCAGUUUACAGAUUUCCUGGCAAAUCUAAGCCGUCAUACAGACUCCUGUCUGUAAGCAAAGGCAUUUUUCACACGUUACCCUGAGGAAACAGGAAACGCAAGACACAUUACCUGUUGUGGGAAUUCACAGCCAUUAUUGCUUGCAGCUCCCAAGGAAAAAGACCUGGAAAAUAUUGCAUGAGCUCUGAACCGCUUGGGUAACUCAGCAAGAGUUUGUGUUACAAGGGCCGUCUGCCCAACUAACAUGUUCACCGUUUAUGCCCUAUGUGUGUAUCCUCUGCGGGUGGGGAAGACAUUUUCUGCACUCCAACUAAUUUCUGUCUUUAAAAUCUACUUUUAUUUUCCUCUCCAUAUUAUAAAAUUGUCACUUCCAAGAAAAUCUUCCAUUGUGGAGUAGUUUCAAUAUCCUCCUUUUUCGAGCUCCAUUAUUGAUGAGUUUUCUUUGGACGAUCACGCUGUGCUCACUUUCUGUGGCAUUACUGUUCUACUUUAACCGGCAAGAUAGUUGAAGCCGAGGUUUCAAACACAGGCUCUAACAUAUAUUGUUAUAAUAUGCGAGGCUCAAAUCUCCUUUGCGCCUCUCUUGUGCCACUUGUGAAUUUCUGGCCGCUGUCAUUAGAGAGAGGCAUUUGUUAUGCUGAUGAGCCCUCUGGCCAUUGUAGGUUUUGUAUUCUUUGUUACUUUAUUAUUAUUUAUUACAUACCUGACUGAAGAAAGAGGAUGAAAAUGUCCGAAUGGUCUCAGGGCCGUUCAUGCUGCCUACAUCAGAUCCCUUCUCUGUGUUCUUCUGACAAAACAAAUUCUUCUGCCCAAACAUCCAUUAAGAGCAUGCACAAUUUUUCCCCGCACAAAGGAUUACUCCCACGUAGGGAACAAUAUGUGAAGGGACCCACAGAAAAGCCAGGAUUCAUGCCUCGUUCUUGGAGAUAAGUUAACAGUACUCUUGUCGAAGCACAUAUUUUGCCAUUCCGCUGGCCCCUUCCGCACACGCAAAAUAAUGCAUUUUCAAACCACUUUCACAACUGUUUGCAAGUGGAUUUCAUUAUUCAAGACAGUUUCAAAGAGCACUGAAAACAGUUUGAAAGUGCAUUAUUCUGCAUGUGCGGAAUGAGCCGCUGAUUUUUUCCAACUACCGUUACGACAUGUCCCACGUGGAAUUCUUUCGUUUUGUAUGAAAGCCUUUUUUUUUUUUACUGGAACUAUAUGUACAUAUUAUACAAUAUAUAAAUACACAUUAAAAAAAAGUUUGCAUGCAAGUUGGUGGUUGUCAUGCAAAAAAAAAAGACUUGUUAAAUGUUUGAUACCGAUGUUUUGCUACAAGGCGACAGCUGCAGAAAACUGUCGCGAACUGCAUCCCCCACAGAGGAAAAUUUUGUAUUCCAGUAUUACGUGUAUCUUUUUUUGUCAGAUUUUGUUUAAUCUUUAUAAAUAGAAUCUCAAAUAAUAAAAAAUAAGAAAGGAAAAAAA